UUUUUUUUUUUUUUUUUUCAGAGUAUUUUCUUUCUUGUCCAGAUUAGCUAAAUUGGAUUGUUCUAUGCUAAAUUCACUUAAUCACUACUCUAUUAUUUUUGAAUUUUUUAGUUCUGUUUUUUUCACUUGGUUCUUUUUUUAAAAAAACUUCUACUACCUUUCUGAGACUUCUACUUUUUUACUUUUUUCAAGAAGCUUUAUAAUUACUUGCUAAAGCAUUUUUACCAUGACUGUUUUUAACUUCUUCAGAUAACCACAACAUUUGGUUAAUCUUGAGGUUGGCUUGGUUAACUGUCUUUUCUCAUCCUGCUUAUGAUUUUCCUUCUAAUUGUGAUUUUUCCGGUUCUUGAUAGAUGGGUGAUGUUUUAGUUUAUCCUGCAUUUUUUUUUCCUUUUUAAGUUAGAGGAAUCUGAAUCUAUUCAAAUGUUUUAUUUUAGCAGGCAUGUGCCCUGUUUAGGUUUAAUUUGAAUGUCCUGUCCUACUUUUGUAGGCCAUGUUUUCGCAGGCAGUCUUGCUAUCAGAGCUGAGGGGAUGCUGUUUUGAUCACUUAGUUUAUCUGAUGUUGCUGGGCCUCCAACUGGUGCUGACUGGUACUUCCUGAGAUGGCGAAGGUUUUUCUGUACUCUGAGAUGCCGUGUAUCUCUAUGUAAGGGGAGGAGACUCUGGACCACAGGAAUGAAGAGAACAUCUUAGGUCAGGCAGCUCAAUCAUAUGCGAUAACCUGGGUCAACCAGCCAGUAGCCUCAUGAAGUAUGGGAGGGAAUUCUCCAGUGUCAGCAUUCAAAGACAUCAUGAGUUUUUACUUCUCAUUUUCUUUUAAGUGAAAUAAUCGCAUGGAAAUUAAAGAAUAAAUAUAUGAAAUAUAUGAAACUUAUAUGAAAUAUAAGAAUGUGAGAAGGCCUACAGCGUGGGGAUCCCCAGGCUAUUUGAACAAUGAAUGUCUGUGUUACACAUCUUUGCUCACUUUUUCUCUAUUUUUGUAGUUCAUUGUGGAACCAGCACAGAUUUUCAUACGAAAGUUAUUUCUUUUUAACCUCAAAAAGUGACAGAAUGGAGUGUAUCAUGAAAAAGUCUGACAUCAAAACCUCAAAAUGUGAUAUUGAUUGGGUGAGAUAGAAUUCCAUGGAAUUUCAUUGCCAAACCAGUGAAGUGCUAAUUUUGACAUUUGUACCAGCUAACGUAGCUGUGAAGAAACACACCAAUACACUUCUAAGGACAGCAUAGACCAAGAUCUAGGUUUCAUAUGGAUGAAUUUAUUCUUCCCUUUGAGGCAAGACAAGAAGGAAAGAAAGUAUUGGGAAUAAUGCUGCCCUCCCAUCCUCAAGGGCCAGUGGGAACUCUAAUAUUGAUUGGUUUUCACAGAAUUCCAUGGACUUUAACUGCUGAACCAAUGAUGCACUGAUUUUGUCACUUGUACCAGCUAACGCAUCUGGGAGGCAACAAAACAAUACUCUCCUGAGGUUAAUGUGGACCAAAAACUAGAUUUCAUAUAAAAGAGUUUAUUCCUUCUACUUGAGGUGUGACAUGAAGGAAAGUAAUGGAAAUAAUUCUGCCCUCCCAUUCUCAAGGGCCAGGGGGAAUUCAAAUAUUGAACGGAAGUGAUUUUGGAAUUGCAUGGAAUUCUCACUGCCAUCCCAAAGAAAUGCUGAUCUUGUCACUCUUACCUGUUUCAUUCCCUGGGGGCAGAACAAAAGGACGCACUCCAAAGAUCGGCAUGAACCAAGAACUGGGUUUCAUAUAAAAUAUUUUAUUCUGUCCUCUUGAGAUGUGACAUGAGAAAAGUAUUGAGAAUACUUCUAUCACCUCAUCUUCAAGAAUCCGUAGGAAUUCUCCCAUGGUGGACUUUACGGUUAACCUGAACAGGUCUUGGAAAAAGGACUUUAAACAUUCUCCUGUUCUGUGGAAUAAGUAUACUUUUUUCUGGACAUACACCUUGUCAGUUCCAUGUGAUACUAGAGUUGCAUAGAUUUUUAACCUUUACGCCAAUGAAGAUCUGAGGCAAACAUUGCCCCUUUUUUAGAAGUUUGCAUUUGUCACUGAUAACUGUAAUAAUUGAUCUUGUUGAAAAGCCUGGGAAAUGAAGAUCUGAUAUGUCACUUUUACCGGCUUCCUCAACUGAAAAAGAAUACAAUGAAACACGCUGAGAAUUUUUGUGCUUUCUCAGUCUUGCUGAUGAUCUUUCUAUGGGCCUGAAGCGUGGAGAGUGCCAGAGAGGCUGAUCCUCAGCAGUGUGGCAGAGGAAAGUUGGGUGCGACUAAGGGGUAUGCGGUGCCCACAUGCCACUGGGUCCUCAGCAGUACCACCUGAUUGGAAGUGAUAUUGGUGGAAGACAACAUUUUGCCGCUUGGAAUUCUCACCUCCACACCAAAGAAGUACUGUUUUUGUCAUUUGCACCAGCUUCUUUCUCCAGGAAAGAUCAAAACGAUGCACUGCAAGGUUAACAUCCAAUUUUUAAUACAUGUAAUUCCCUGGAUUAUUUUUGUUGUGUUAUUAAAUAACUUAGAAUUUUUUUUACAAAGUCUGUUGAACCAAACACUGUAAGGCAUUAAUAACCUGGUGAGUUAUUUGAGGCCUUUUUUCCUCUCCUAGAAUUUUUGCACAAUUUAUAUUUUGAAUAAUAUCAGAGACAUCCUAGUAGAGUAAUGAAUUAGUACAUUUUAUAUGCAGAUACAUAGUGAAGCCUCCUUUCUUAUGCAUAUUUGACAAAUGGACAUGUAUAUUUCUCAUCUUCCCAUAUUUUUACUCCAUUUCCACAGGUCAUGUAGACCAAAAUGUGAAUGUCAUAUGAAAGAGUUUAAACAUUGCCCUUGAAAUAUGACAGAAAGUAUCAGAAAUAAUUAUACCAUUCCAUGCUCACAGGCCAGUGGGAAUUCUCACAGUAAGCAUUUUGUCCAGAGAAUAUUCUUCUUAGGGAACUAUAACAUUCCAAUGAUAAUGGUAGUCAGCCAUGUGGCUGGAUCAUCGUUCCUGUAUCCUGGUCUCUAUGACUUAGUGUGGUGAUGGUGUCAUUGUGUCCAAGUGUGACAGAAUUGUUAGUGUGUAGUGUCUGUCUCCUAUCUCAGGCUCACAGUCCCUUUUAUAAACAUGCCUGGAUUGAUGAUGGCUUCAGUAUCUUUUGGAAAUCUGGACUGAGCAAUAGAAUUGCUUCUCUCAAAUUGAUUUCAAGUCAUAUAAAAGGCCAUGUUACACAUAUAUUGUUAAUCUGAGGGAGGCUGUGAUCAUUUAAGUUGUAUUUUAUAAACACUAGGACCACCAGUAAGAAAACAAUUCAAAAAAUAUUAAAAGAACAACCAAAGAAUUAAAAUAGAAUAACCGAAAAGAUCUGUUUAACACAAAAGAAGGCAGUUAAAGAUGAACAGAGGAACCAAUAAGACAUAUAGAAAACAGAUAGGAAAAUGACAGACAUAAACCCAGCCAUAUGACAAUUAUAUUAAAUUUUUAAGAGAUUAGGAAAUUCCGUUGUUUUUUAAACAUGAGCAACUAUACGCUGUCUACAGAAGAGACACUUUAGAACAAAAGAUACAAAUAGUUGGAAAGUAAAAAGAUGGAAAAAGCUAUAUCCAGCGAAUCCAGAAGAGAGCAGAAGUGGCUAUUCUGACAUCAGAAAAAAGAGACUUUAAGAUAAAGUAUUGCUAGAGAGGAAGAAGGAUAGUAUUUAAUGAUAGAAGGGUUAAUAUGGAAUAUGUAACAAUUACAAUCAUAUCAGCACUAACAACAGUGCCCAAAACUACAUACACUGAAAUUUAACAUGAUUGAGGGGAUCAAUAGGCAAUUCAACAAUAAAAGCUUUUGUUCAUACCCUCUUCUUAAUCAGUGAUAAGUCAAUUAGAUAGAGCAUCAUUGAGGUUACAACAUACUUCAGCAAUGUUGUCAACCAAUUUGACCUGAGAUAGAUAGAUAGACAGUUAGACAGACAGACAGACAGACAGAGAAAACUUCACCCAACAACAGAAAUACAAAUUAUUUUCAAGCAUACCUGGAACAUUCUCCAGGAUAGAGUAUAUGUUAGGCUAUAAAACUGUACUCAAUAAAUUUAAGAUUGAAACCAUGUAGAGUAUGUUGUGUGACCAUAGAGGAAUUAGAAAUCAACACAGAAAUAAAUUUGGAGGUCACAAGAUAUUUGGAAAUUAACACACUUUACAGAGCCCAUUGGUCAAAAAUAUAUAUAUUAAACUAGAAAGGCCGGGGGUGGUUGCUUACACCUGUAAUUCCAGCACUUUGGGAGGCGUAGGUGGGCACAUCACUUGAGGCCAGGAGUUCAAGACCAACCUGGGCAACAUGGCAAAACCCCAUCUCUACAAAAAAAUACAAAAAA
ensembl:lncRNA SNHG14 small nucleolar RNA host gene 14